AGCGAACGCUGGCGGCAGGCCUAACACAUGCAAGUCGAACGAACUCUUCGGAGCCAGUGGCGGACGGGUGAGUAAAACGUGGGAACGUGCCUUUAGGUUCGGAAUAACUCAGGGAAACUUGUGCUAAUACCGAAUGUGCCCUUCGGGGGAAAGAUUUAUCGCCUUUAGAGCGGCCCGCGUCUGAUUAGCUAGUUGGUGAGGUAAAGGAUCACCAAGGCGACGAUCAGUAGCUGGUCUGAGAGGAUGAUCAGCCACAUUGGGACUGAGACACGGCCCAAACUCCUACGGGAGGCAGCAGUGGGGAAUCUUGCGCAAUGGGCGAAAGCCUGACGCAGCCAUGCCGCGUGAAUGAUGAAGGCCUUAGGAUUGUAAAAUUCUUUCACCGGGGACGAUAAUGACGGUACCCGGAGAAGAAGCCCCGGCUAACUUCGUGCCAGCCGCCGCGGUAA
rnacentral:rRNA from 1 species